GUGGGUUCGAAUCCCACCGCUGCCACAAGGUUUUUGGGCUGGGGGUGUGGCUCAAGUGGUAGCGCGCUGG
rnacentral:sRNA from 1 species